UAUAAAAAUUGUACUGACGCUUCUACCUUCUGUUCUCCAUUCAAUAACCCACUCUUCAAUUUUGUCCUCUAACUGUGGCCAUCUUUCUUU